rnacentral:tRNA from 1 species
GCCUUGGUAGUCUAGUGGUUAAGACUUGGCGCUGUCACUCCCAUGGCCUGGGUUCAUUUCCCAGUCAGGGAA